UACGUAGGGGGCUAGCGUUGUUCGGAAUUACUGGGCGUAAAGCGCGCGUAGGCGGCUUUGUAAGUUAGAGGUGAAAGCCCGGAGCUCAACUCCGGAACUGCCUUUAAGACUGCAUCGCUAGAAUCAUGGAGAGGUGAGUGGAAUUCCGAGUGUAGAGGUGAAAUUCGUAGAUAUUCGGAAGAACACCAGUGGCGAAGGCGACUCACUGGACAUGUAUUGACGCUGAGGUGCGAAAGCGUGGGGAGCAAGCAGG
rnacentral:rRNA from 1 species